CAUUUGCAUAUUUUUGAAUUAUAGGAUGCUUCCCAAACUCAAAAUGGACCUAGGAUUUUCGCGAUGCCAAUUUUAGAGAAAUACAAGAAUCAGUGCACUAGUAGAAAAUGGGUCUUCCGUUCGGAGUUGCAAGGAGCAUUAGUCCCGGUCGCUAUUUGAUUCAGGACUAUUGCCGAUUCCAACGGCUAGAACGCACGGCAAGCUUUAGUACCGGUUCGAUCGGGACCUUUAAUCCCAGUUGGUGAUACCAACCUCACUAUAUUUUUUGUACGCUAUAUAUGCAGAAUGAAGAUUGUAGAAUGCAGAAGAAACAACAUCUUUAAUGUUGGGUUCAUUGACUCAUAUCACAAUCAUUGUCUUACGGUAGAACAAUAUCCUAAGGACACGAAGGAUAACUUGCUAAGGUUUUAGUCCAACAAAAUAAAUGUUCAGAAAUACUAUUUCCUUACAACUUCUCGGGAGUAUUACUGUCCUUUUGCACAUAUUCUAUUUUGCUUAAAUACAUGAUAUUUAGUACUAUAAUUGAUGAGUUAUAUGCAUUCCUGCAUAUGUAAACGUGUGCAGCUUCCACUGAAUUCUGUUAAUUAUUUAAAUUGACAAUGAAAAAGUUGAUAUCAUCGACCCAUUAGACAAAGAUACUGAGUUGUACAGGAACUUAUAUGAUAUGAUCCAGAGGUAAUUUCAAUCAUUAUCGCACUAUAUCGGCCUCUUUCGUUCAUUUCCUCAGUUCCUCGGCAUUAUCGCAGGGUUUGGAAAAGGUUCAUAAAAAAAGUUCCCGGUCAAUUGAAACCUAAGCUGCGUUUUGUAAAGCAGAAAUGGUUGAUGCAGGCGGAGGGGACUAAUUUAUGUGCAUACUUACAUCCGCAUGAAUACCACUGAGCGGCGCGGCGUAGGGAGGAUUUCCUUCAACUUCUAUACCGGAUGAACGUGUGCAAGCAAUUCAAGAGGAGUUGACGAGAUUUUUGCUUAACGAGGUCAUACAUAAAGGCGGAGAACACCAUUGCCGCUAAUGCAUCCAUGUAUUCUAGUGAUCUCCAUGUAAUUAGAUAGAAACUAUAACAAAUUAUAUAUAUAUCGUAAGAGGCAUUAUAUUA